UACGAAGGGGGCUAGCGUUGCUCGGAUUGACUGAGCGUAAAGCGUGCGCAGGCGGUUCUAUAAGACAGAUGUGAAAUCCCCCGGGCUCAACCUGGGAACUGCAUUUGUGACUGUAGAGCUGGAGUACGGAAGAGGCGAGUGGAAUUCCUGGUGUAGCGGUGAAAUGCGCAGAUAUCAGGAGGAACACCAAUGGCGAAGGCAGCUCGCUGGGACGGUACUGGACG
rnacentral:rRNA from 1 species